GCCACGCAACGUACUAAAUGAAAAAAGAGAAAAUUAACCUUGUGCCGUAAUAGCUUCCAGAACUUUCAUGAAUUAGGUCCGACGAGCGGAACAGAGAACUGAAAAGCUUGUCGUAGGAAACUUGCAGCUCUAGUAAGGAACAAGGUCGGGGUACAACAAUACACAACGAUGUUCAAGCAGUAAAGGACAUUUGGUGAAUUCAAUUGAAGAGCAACAACUACCUACAAGCACCAACAACAGCCAUGAGUAGAAGCCUCAAUUCAAGCAGAAGUAUGUCCUUUUACUGUAUUAUAUUCGACCACGCUUGCAAUAAAUGAACAACAAAGCAAGUACAGAUAUAUUAUGGUACUUCAGCUGAGGUCUCUCUACCUUUACAAGAUAAAAGGUAGGGGCGACGUUACGUACACACGUGACACCACCAUCCCCAGACCUU
rnacentral:misc_RNA from 1 species